UACGAAGGGUGCAAGCGUUACUCGGAAUUACUGGGCGUAAAGCGUGCGUAGGCGGUCUGUUAAGUCCGUUGUGAAAGCCCUGGGCUCAACCUGGGAAUUGCAGUGGAUACUGGCAGGCUAGAGUACGGUAGAGGAGUGGUGGAAUUCCCGGUGUAGCGGUGAAAUGCGUAGAGAUCGGGAGGAACACCCGUGGCGAAGGCGACACGCUGGGCCGUACCUGACGCUAAAGCGCGACAGCAUGGGGAGCAAACGGG
rnacentral:rRNA from 1 species